rnacentral:tRNA from 2 species
GCCCAUGUAGCUCAGUCGGUAGAGCACUUCCAUGGUAAGGAAGUGGUCAUCGGUUCAAUUCCGAUCAUGGGCU